GUACACGCUGUGACUAGCAUAUCAAUAAGCGGAGGAAAAGAAACUAACAGGGAUUCCCUUAGUAACGGCGAGUGAAGCGGGAAGAGCUCAAAUUUGAAAUCUUCAAGGUUUUACCUUGACGAAUUGUAGUUUAAAGAAGUGUUUUCUGCUGAAGUUUUGGUAAAAGUUCUUUGGAAUAGGACAUCAUAGAGGGUGAGAAUCCCGUAUUUGACCAUUAUUUUCAGCUUUGUGAUACACUUUCAAGGAGUCGGAUUGUUUGGGAAUGCAGUCCAAAAUGGGUGGUAAAUUUCAUCUAAAGCUAAAUAUUGGCGAGAGACCGAUAGCGAACAAGUACCGUGAGGGAAAGAUGAAAAGAACUUCGAAAAGAGAGUUAAAUAGUACGUGAAAUUGUCAAAAGGGAAGCGUUUAACACCAGUGUUGUUUUCUGAAAAUCAACCUCUGUUAGCUUUAUGCAUGUUUGUUUAGACCUAAUCAGCUAUCUUGCAGUGUUCUAUUGUUUGCAGUGGUGCACUUUUCAGUUUACAGGUCAACAUCAGUUUUUUUUACCGUAAAAAAGUUAAAGAAAGGUAGCUCAUGGCUCCGGUCGUGAGUGUUAUAGUCUUUUUCCUAUGCGGUAGGAGAGACUGAGGUCUGCAGUGUAGGCUAUUUGGCUAGAUACUACAGGUGCUAUGUGAUACCAUUUCAUAAACAACUUGUUGAUUAUGUUUUGUCUAUUGCAUACUCGCUUGUACUAUCAUACCUACGCUUAGGAUGUUGAGUAGCGACAUACGCAC
rnacentral:rRNA from 1 species